CCUACGGGGAGCAGCAGUGGGGAAUAUUGCACAAUGGGGGAAACCCUGAUGCAGCGACGCCGCGUGCGUGACGAAGUAUUUCGGUACGUAAAGCUCUAUCAGCAGGGAAGAAAAUGACGGUACCUGACUAAGAAGCCCCGGCUAACUCCGUGCCAGCAGCCGCGGUAAUACGUAGGGGGCCAGCGUUAUCCGGAUUGACUGGGUGUAAAGGGAGCGUAGACGGCAGCGCAAGUCUGGAGUGAAAUCCCAUGGCUUAACCAUGGAACUGCUUUGGAAACUGUGCAGCUAGAGUGCAGGAGAGGUAAGCGGAAUUCCUAGUGUAGCGGUGAAAUGCGUAGAUAUUAGGAGGAACACCAGUGGCGAAGGCGGCUUACUGGACUGUAACUGACGUUGAGGCUCGAAAGCGUGGGGAGCAAACAGGAUUAGAUACCCUAGUAGUC
rnacentral:rRNA from 1 species